rnacentral:lncRNA from 1 species
CCCUCACUUUCACUAAUCACUACUAACCUAAUUGUAAUUCACGCCAAAUUAAGAGGAUCUCAUCUCCACUUUCACCUUUUGCAGCUAGGGAUCGAAACCCUGGAAGCCGCCCGCCACUGAGCACCCUAGCGUCGCCCGCUGCUCUGCACCCUAGCGGCGCUGCCCACCGCUCUUCUCCAUCAGUCGCGGCACGCCGCUCUGCACACCCUAGCGCCGCCGCUCGCCGCUUGCUCCAUAUGCCGCCGCUCGCCGCUCUGCUCCAUCAGCCGCUGCACGCCUCCGCCAAAAUCGUAUCAUUUUCCUUCCAACCCCUCUGUUCCAGGUACAGUUGAAUUAAUUUAUUGGUAAUCAGAUUUAUUUUUCAAUUUACUGCAUUUUCUCCCUCUGUUCAUUUUUUGGCGGUCGUCGAGCCCCUUUUCUCCGUUUUGCUGUUUUCUCCUCGACUCCCUUUGUAAACGUUAUUUUUGGGUUGCAUGCAGACCCGCUACAGGGCGAUUUUCCAGAAGUAAUAGAGGAGUAUUUGGAGUAUAUCAGUAAUGGCGAGUGAAGGAUGCCCGGGU